UUAAAUUGAAGAGUUUGAUCAUGGCUCAGAUUGAACGCUGGCGGCAGGCCUAACACAUGCAAGUCGAACGGUAACAGGAAGAAGCUUGCUUCUUUGCUGACGAGUGGCGGACGGGUGAGUAAUGUCUGGGAAACUGCCUGAUGGAGGGGGAUAACUACUGGAAACGGUAGCUAAUACCGCAUAACGUCGCAAGACCAAAGAGGGGGACCUUCGGGCCUCUUGCCAUCGGAUGUGCCCAGAUGGGAUUAGCUAGUAGGUGGGGUAACGGCUCACCUAGGCGACGAUCCCUAGCUGGUCUGAGAGGAUGACCAGCCACACUGGAACUGAGACACGGUCCAGACUCCUACGGGAGGCAGCAGUGGGGAAUAUUGCACAAUGGGCGCAAGCCUGAUGCAGCCAUGCCGCGUGUAUGAAGAAGGCCUUCGGGUUGUAAAGUACUUUCAGCGGGGAGGAAGGGAGUAAAGUUAAUACCUUUGCUCAUUGACGUUACCCGCGGAGGAAGCAC
rnacentral:rRNA from 1 species